rnacentral:tRNA from 2 species
GCCCGCGUCACUGAUUAGCCCGCACAUGGUUGCGGCCGCGCACUAGGGGCAUAUGUAUGCGGCACCGGUGGUUCGAUUCCACCGGCGGGCA